rnacentral:tRNA from 1 species
GCGGGUAUCGUAUAGCGGUAAUAUAUUACCUUGCCAAGGUAAGGCGGAGGGUUCGACUCCCUCUACCCGCUCCA